rnacentral:tRNA from 2 species
GCGGACGUAGCUCAGUUGGUAGAGCGCAACCUUGCCAAGGUUGAGGUCGCGAGUUCGAACCUCGUCGUCCGCUCCG